UCAGCAUAUCAAAGAAUCACAAGAAUUCAAUUUUUGAUGAAAUCAAAUAAUGUUCAAUUUUGGACCCUUUAGACCUCAAUGUGGACAAAUUUGAUAACCGGGCCCAAAUUUUAAAAAUCUAAAUACAUGGUAAGACUCAGCAUAUUGAAAAACCCCAUAUAUUCAAUUUUUGUUGAAAUCAAACAAAGUUUAAAUUUUGGACCCCGAUUUGGACCAACUUGAAAACUGGGCCCAUAAUCAAAAAUCUAAGUACAUG
rnacentral:lncRNA from 1 species